rnacentral:rRNA from 1 species
GACGAACGCUGGCGGCGUGCUUAACACAUGCAAGUCGAACGGAAAGGCCCUGCUUUUGUGGGGUGCUCGAGUGGCGAACGGGUGAGUAACACGUGAGUAACCUGCCCUUGACUUUGGGAUAACUUCAGGAAACUGGGGCUAAUACCGGAUAGGAGCUCCUGCUGCAUGGUGGGGGUUGGAAAGUUUCGGCGGUUGGGGAUGGACUCGCGGCUUAUCAGCUUGUUGGUGGGGUAGUGGCUUACCAAGGCUUUGACGGGUAGCCGGCCUGAGAGGGUGACCGGCCACAUUGGGACUGAGAUACGGCCCAGACUCAUACGGGAGGCAGCAGUGGGGAAUAUUGCACAAUGGGCGGAAGCCUGAUGCAGCAACGCCGCGUGCGGGAUGACGGCCUGCGGGUUGUAAACCGCUUUCGCCUGUGACGAAGCGUGAGUGACGGUAAUGGGUAAAGAAGCACCGGCUAACUACGUG